GUCUACGGCCAUGCCACCUUGAACAAGCCCGAUCCCAUCUGAUCUUGGAAGCUAAGCAGGAUCGGUCUUGGUUAGUACUUGGAUGGAAGACCACUUAGGAAUACGAAGUGCUGUAUGUA
rnacentral:rRNA from 1 species